rnacentral:lncRNA from 13 species
GAAUCUGCACGGCUCUAGGGUUGGGACUCUAGGUGGUGGUGGCAUGGGUUUGUGAGUGGGAUCUUCUGAUCCAUGAGUUGCACAGUACCAUGGAAAAAACAUGGUUUCCCCAGCUGGGUAGCGUGCUCACUUACCACUUCCCUUGGCUGGGGGAUGGGGGCUUCCCUGCCCCAUAUGGCUCUUAUGUGUGCUGCCACACCACACUGCUCUUUCUGUGGGUCACUCCAGCCAACCUAGUCAGUUCUGAUGGGAGAACCUGGAUACAUUGGUUGUCAAUGCAGGAUUUACACACUAUUAUGGUUCUUUCUGAUGGGAGCUUCUGAUCACUACCACUUCUAGUUGGCCAUCUUAGAAGCACAUCUGCACCCCCAUCACAUCUUUUUUAUAUUACCACUUUGAUAUGGUAGUAUAGCAUUUAUAUGUUUUCAUUAUUAUUAUUAUUUUUUUUUAGAGUUGAGGUCUUGCUUUGUCACCUAGACUGGAAUGCAGUGGUAUAAUCAUGGCUCAUUGCAGCCUCCAAUUCCUGGGCUCCUCUGAUCCUCUUACUUCAGCCUCCUGUGUACCCGGGACUACAGAGCUAUGUGAGAAGCUUUCCCCAGACUCCUUGACUUUUCACGUGGGCAGAUCAGCCAUGGCCACAGUAGAGGAGAUGUAUCAAGGUAGCAAAGCUUGUGGAUUCUGGAAUCAGAGAGCUUGGGUUCAAAUUCCAGCUGUGUGUCCUUGGUACCUCACCCAGCUAAAGCUCACCAAGCUGAGAGCCGUAGGAGAUGUCAAGGUUCUGGCUGUAGCUCCUUGAUUGUUUCACUCUAUAUGUUGAAGACUGCUACGACAACCACCAGCCUGAAGACAUUUUCAGAUCACAGGUUGGCCUGCGUGAAGGGCAGGUCAGUUCUGAAGAGGUGAUGUUUCUGAAAUAAGCA